rnacentral:rRNA from 2 species
GGCGAACUGGUGAGUAACACGUGGGAAACCUGCCCAGAAGCGGGGGAUAACACCUGGAAACAGAUGCUAAUACCGCAUAACAACUUGGACCGCAUGGUCCGAGCUUGAAAGAUGGCUUCGGCUAUCACUUUUGGAUGGUCCCGCGGCGUAUUAGCUAGAUGGUGGGGUAACGGCUCACCAUGGCAAUGAUACGUAGCCGACCUGAGAGGGUAAUCGGCCACAUUGGGACUGAGACACGGCCCAAACUCCUACGGGAGGCAGCAGUAGGGAAUCUUCCACAAUGGACGAAAGUCUGAUGGAGCAACGCCGCGUGAGUGAAGAAGGGUUUCGGCUCGUAAAACUCUGUUGUUAAAGAAGAACAUAUCUGAGAGUAACUGUUCAGGUAUUGACGGUAUUUAACCAGAAAGCCACGGCUAACUACGUGCCAGCAGCCGCGGUAAUACGUAGGUGGCAAGCGUUGUCCGGAUUUAUUGGGCGUAAAGCGAGCGCAGGCGGUUUUUUAAGUCUGAUGUGAAAGCCUUCGGCUCAACCGAAGAAGUGCAUCGGAAACUGGGAAACUUGAGUGCAGAAGAGGACAGUGGAACUCCAUGUGUAGCGGUGAAAUGCGUAGAUAUAUGGAAGAACACCAGUGGCGAAGGCGGCUGUCUGGUCUGUAACUGACGCUGAGGCUCGAAAGUAUGGGUAGCAAACAGGAUUAGAUACCCUGGUAGUCCAUACCGUAAACGAUGAAUGCUAAGUGUUGGAGGGUUUCCGCCCUUCAGUGCUGCAGCUAACGCAUUAAGCAUUCCGCCUGGGGAGUACGGCCGCAAGGCUGAAACUCAAAGGAAUUGACGGGGGCCCGCACAAGCGGUGGAGCAUGUGGUUUAAUUCGAAGCUACGCGAAGAACCUUACCAGGUCUUGACAUACUAUGCAAAUCUAAGAGAUUAGACGUUCCCUUCGGGGACAUGGAUACAGGUGGUGCAUGGUUGUCGUCAGCUCGUGUCGUGAGAUGUUGGGUUAAGUCCCGCAACGAGCGCAACCCUUAUUAUCAGUUGCCAGCAUUAAGUUGGGCACUCUGGUGAGACUGCCGGUGACAAACCGGAGGAAGGUGGGGAUGACGUCAAAUCAUCAUGCCCCUUAUGACCUGGGCUACACACGUGCUACAAUGGAUGGUACAACGAGUUGCGAACUCGCGAGAGUAAGCUAAUCUCUUAAAGCCAUUCUCAGUUCGGAUUGUAGGCUGCAACUCGCCUACAUGAAGUCGGAAUCGCUAGUAAUCGCGGAUCAGCAUGCCGCGGUGAAUACGUUCCCGGGCCUUGUACACACCGCCC